rnacentral:rRNA from 1 species
UGGAUCCAGACUUUGAUUAUGGCUCAGGACGAACGCUGGCGGCACGCUUAACACAUGCAAGUCGAACGGAGAAUUGAGAGCUUGCUUUUGAUUCUUAGUGGCGGACGGGUGAGUAACACGUGAGGAACCUGCCUCUGAGUGUGGGAUAGCUUCUGGAAACGGAUGGUAAUACCGCAUAACAUUACAUUAUCGCAUGGUAAGGUAAUCAAAGAUUUAUUGCUCAGAGAUGGCCUCGCGUCUGAUUAGAUAGUUGGUGGGGUAACGGCUCACCAAGUCGACGAUCAGUAGCCGGACUGAGAGGUUGGACGGCCACAUUGGGACUGAGACACGGCCCAGACUCCUACGGGAGGCAGCAGUGGGGAAUAUUGCACAAUGGGGGGAACCCUGAUGCAGCGAUGCCGCGUGGAGGAAGAAGGUUUUCGGAUUGUAAACUCCUGUCGUAAGGGACGAUAAUGACGGUACCUUACAAGAAAGCUCCGGCUAACUACGUGCCAGCAGCCGCGGUAAUACGUAGGGAGCGAGCGUUGUCCGGAAUUACUGGGUGUAAAGGGAGCGUAGGCGGUACGGCAAGUCAGAUGUGAAAUAUACGUGCUCAACAUGUAGACUGCAUUUGAAACUGUCGUUCUUGAGUGAGGUAGAGGUAAGCGGAAUUCCUGGUGUAGCGGUGAAAUGCGUAGAGAUCAGGAGGAACAUCGGUGGCGAAGGCGGCUUACUGGGCCUUUACUGACGCUGAGGCUCGAAAGCGUGGGGAGCAAACAGGAUUAGAUACCCUGGUAGUCCACGCCGUAAACGAUGGUUACUAGGUGUGGGGGGACUGACCCCUUCCGUGCCGCAGCUAACACAAUAAGUAAUCCACCUGGGGAGUACGGCCGCAAGGUUGCAACUCAAAGGAAUUGACGGA